GACGAACGCUGGCGGCGUGCCUAACACAUGCAAGUCGAGCGGGGUUAUAUAACGGAAGUUCUUCGGAAUGGAAGAUGUAUAAUCUAGCGGCGGACGGGUGAGUAACGCGUGAAUAACCUGCCCUUCACUGGGGAAUAACACAUUGAAAGAUGUGCUAAUACCGCAUAAGACCACGUUGCCGCAUGGCGAUGAGGUCAAAGGAGCAAUUCGGUGAAGGAUGGAUUCGCGUCCCAUUAGCUAGCUGGUGAGAUAACAGCCCACCAAGGCGACGAUGGGUAGCCGACCGGAGAGGGUGAUCGGCCACACUGGGACUGAGACACGGCCCAGACUCCUACGGGAGGCAGCAGUGGGGAAUAUUGGGCAAUGGGGGAAACCCUGACCCAGCAACGCCGCGUGAGGGAAGAAGGUUCUCGGAUCGUAAACCUCUGUCCUUGGUGAAGAGAAGAAGACGGUAGCCAAGGAGGAAGCCCCGGCUAACUACGUGCCAGCAGCCGCGGUAAGAC
rnacentral:rRNA from 1 species